rnacentral:lncRNA from 1 species
UGCACUAACAUAUGAUGAUGUUCAAAGAGGUUUGGAGCCUUUGUGCUUUCUGUUUAUCAAAAAAAAAAAUGACUUUAUAGUGGUUAUUCCAUUGAUUUAGGGAGUAUUAUGAAGUUUUAUUAAAUUAUUUGAUAAAAACUAUUGAAAGAUGCUCAUUUACCAUAAAAAAGAGUUUUGCAUAAAUUAAUACAAAUGUAGAAUAUGGUAGAAAUUUUAAAACAACACUA